GAUGAACGCUGGCGGCGUGCUUAACACAUGUAAGUCGAACGAAGCACCCUAUUCUGAUUUCUUCGGAAUGAAAAAUUUGGUGACUGAGUGGCGGACGGGUGAGUAACGCGUGGGUAACCUGCCUCAUACAGGGGGAUAACAGUUAGAAAUGACUGCUAAUACCGCAUAAGACCACAGCACCGCUUGGUGCAGGGGUAAAAACUCCGGUGGUAUGAGAUGGACCCGCGUCUGAUUAGGUAGUUGGUGGGGUAACGGCCUACCAAGCCGACGACCUGUAGCCGACCUGAGAGGGUGACCGGCCACAUUGGGACUGAGACACGGCCCAAACUCCUACGGGAGGCAGCAGUGGGGAAUAUUGCACAAUGGGGGAAACCCUGAUGCAGCGACGCCGCGUGAGUGAUGAAGUAUUUCGGUAUGUAAAGCUCUAUCAGCAGGGAAGAAAAUGACGGUACCUGACUAAGAAGCACCGGCUAAAUACGUGCCAGCAGCCGCAGUAAAAC
rnacentral:rRNA from 1 species